GACGAACGCUGGCGGCGUGCUUAACACAUGCAAGUCGAACGAUGAAGCCUUUCGGGGUGGAUUAGUGGCGAACGGGUGAGUAACACGUGGGUAAUCUGCCUUGCACUCUGGGAUAAGCCUGGGAAACGUGGGUCUAAUACCGGAUAUGACUACUUCACGCAUGGUGGGGUGGUGGAAAGUUCUGGCGGUGUGAGAUGAACCCGCGGCCUAUCAGCUUGUUGGUGGGGUG
rnacentral:rRNA from 1 species